AACUCCGGUGGAUAGAGAUGGGCACGCGCAAGAUUAAAUAGUUGGUGAGGUAACGGCUCACCAAGUCUACGAUCUUUAGGGGGCCUGAGAGGGUGAUCCCCCACACUGGUACUGAGACACGGACCAGACUCCUACGGGAGGCAGCAGUGAGGAAUAUUGGACAAUGGGUGAGAGCCUGAUCCAGCCAUCCCGCGUGAAGGACGACUGCCCUAUGGGUUGUAAACUUCUUUUGUAUAGGGAUAAACCUACCCUCGUGAGGGUAGCUGAAGGUACUAUACGAAUAAGCACCGGCUAACUCCGUGCCAGCAGCCGCGGUAAUACGGAGGGUGCAAGCGUUAUCCGGAUUUAUUGGGUUUAAAGGGUCCGUAGGCGGAUUUGUAAGUCAGUGGUGAAAUCUCACAGCUUAACUGUGAAACUGCCAUUGAUACUGCAAGUCUUGAGUGUUGUUGAAGUAGCUGGAAUAAGUAGUGUAGCGGUGAAAUGCAUAGAUAUUACUUAGAACACCAAUUGCGAAGGCAGGUUACUAAGCAACAACUGACGCUGAUGGACGAAAGCGUGGGGAGCGAACAGGAUUAGAUACCCUGGUAGUCCACGCCGUAAACGAUGCUAACUCGUUUUUGGGUUUUCGGAUUCAGAGACUAAGCGAAAGUGAUAAGUUAGCCACCUGGGGAGUACGUUCGCAAGAAUGAAACUCAAAGGAAUUGACGGGGGCCCGCACAAGCGGUGGAUUAUGUGGUUUAAUUCGAUGAUACGCGAGGAACCUUACCAAGGCUUAAAUGGGAAAUGACAGGUUUAGAAAUAGACUUUUCUUCGGACAUUUUUCAAGGUGCUGCAUGGUUGUCGUCAGCUCGUGCCGUGAGGUGUUAGGUUAAGUCCUGCAACGAGCGCAACCCCUGUCACUAGUUGCCAUCAUUAAGUUGGGGACUCUAGUGAGACUGCCUACGCAAGUAGAGAGGAAGGUGGGGAUGACGUCAAAUCAUCACGGCCCUUACGCCUUGGGCCACACACGUAAUACAAUGGCCGGUACAGAGGGCAGCUACACUGCGAAGUGAUGCAAAUCUCGAAAGCCGGUCUCAGUUCGGAUUGGAGUCUGCAACUCGACUCUAUGAAGCUGGAAUCGCUAGUAAUCGCGCAUCAGCCAUGGCGCGGUGAAUACGUUCCCGGGCCUUGUACACACCGCCCGUCAAGCCAUGGAAGUCUGGGGUACCUGAAGUCGGUGACCG
rnacentral:rRNA from 1 species